rnacentral:rRNA from 1 species
GACGAACGCUGGCGGCGUGCCUAAUACAUGCAAGUUGAGCGCUGAAGGUUGGUACUUGUACCAACUGGAUGAGCAGCGAACGGGUGAGUAACGCGUGGGGAAUCUGCCUUUGAGCGGGGGACAACAUUUGGAAACGAAUGCUAAUACCGCAUAAAAACUUUAAACACAAGUUUUAAGUUUGAAAGAUGCAAUUGCAUCACUCAAAGAUGAUCCCGCGUUGUAUUAGCUAGUUGGUGAGGUAAAGGCUCACCAAGGCGAUGAUACAUAGCCGACCUGAGAGGGUGAUAGGCCACAUUGGGACGUAGACACGGCCCAAACUCCUAAGGGAGGCAGCAGUAGGGAAUCGUCGGCGAUGGACGAAAGUCUGACCGAGCAACGCCGCGUGAGUGAAGAAGGUUGUCGGAUCGUAAAACUCUGUUGGUAGAGAAGAACGUUGGUGAGAGUGGAAAGCUCAUCAAGUGACGGUAACUACCCAGAAAGGGACGGCUAACUACGUG